rnacentral:lncRNA from 1 species
GAUAAAUUGUCUCUUUUAUUAUACAAUGCAGGACAAAGUUUCUAAUGUCUUACAUUAGAAGGGCCUGCUUGUAGGUAUAUCUUAAGAUAAAAGAGACUAUACCAGUUUAUUAAAAGUAAUAAUACUAAAUAAUAAUAAACCAAAAUCAAGUACCACAUUACUUAGCAAAUGAAAUAACAUUAAAAUGGAAAAAUGCAUAAUAGGAUUUAAGAAUGGAAUAAUCAUUAGAUGCAACAUUAAUUUUUAUUUAUUUAUAACAGGUUAGUAAUUCACAACCCAAUCAAGAUAAACAUAUAACUAAUCAGGUAGUAAGAUACUUCAAGAGUAACCUUAAAAAUGCAAUUGUAAGAUUUUGAACACUAAUGUAUUCUAACUUCCCUAAUCAGUGCAGUAACAACAACAAAGUGCAUACCAAACAAACAGCGACAGCAACAACAAAACAAAACAAACUUAUAUUCCAUGUUAAAAUGUCAAGGUUUUCGGGGAUGGGGGGACCAGCUCAAGAAAGCUGAGCUCGCCUUGUUGUCCUCACCGUGUCCAAGGUUCCUCAGACUCCGUUUUCCUCGGAGCAAAAGUGUCGGCACAGCAUCUGGGAAACUCUAACAGGGAAGGGAG